rnacentral:lncRNA from 1 species
AUACACAGGUCAAGUUUCCAUCUGGAUUUAAGAUCUGGCUUGUACAGCUUCCCUGUCUUCUCAGGGUUGAAAACUGCAGACUACUAGCUCUGUGGUGGUACCUCAAGUCUCAUCUGUACAUACAAAAUUAGGAAACCUGUGGUUUCAAAAAUCAAGAGUAACAGGACAAAUGCCAAAUAUAUAGGAUUUAUUAAAAUCUAAGGUUUUAAUGACAGUUAUCGGACACUGGUCCUUAGUGGCUGCAGCCUUCACAUGCCCUCUGGAGCUUGUCACCAUAUGUAUCUGGAGAGAUUCUAAAGCUGCAAUUAGCAAGUCACCUUGCUU